rnacentral:rRNA from 1 species
GAAUUUUGGACAAUAGGCGAAAGCCUGAUCCAGCCAUGCCGCGUGUGUGAAGAAGGUCUUCGGAUUGUAAAGCACUUUAAGUUGGGAGGAAGGGUAGUAACUUAAUACGUUGCUACUUUGACGUUACCGACAGAAUAAGCACCGGCUAACUUCGUGCCAGCAGCCGCGGUAAUACGAAGGGUGCAAGCGUUAAUCGGAAUUACUGGGCGUAAAGCGCACGUAGGUGGCGACGUAAGUCGGGUGUGAAAGCCCCGGGCUCAACCUGGGAACCGCAUUCGAGACUGUGUUGCUGGAGUACGGAAGAGGAGGGCGGAAUUCCCGGUGUAGCGGUGAAAUGCGUAGAUAUCGGGAGGAACAUCAGUGGCGAAGGCGGCCCUCUGGUCCAGUACUGACACUCAAGUGCGAAAGCGUGGGGAGCAAACAGG